UGCAACAUUUCCGGACAAGAAAAAGUUGCGCGACCAUGUAACGCAGGACCAUCCGACAGUUAACAAGUGCCGAUACUGCGGCUUCGUGUACCGUUACUGUGGCAAUCUGACCAGGCACGAAGCUAGCUGCAGCAUGCGUGGGAAUUACAGGACACCAAGAACUUCGGAUCGAACUGGAAUCCUCGUGAUUAAUUGAUGGAGAUAAUAACCACUAGGCCACCCCAAAAAUCUCGAGAUGGACGACCAGCAAGCUUAGCCUAAGAAUCUUAGGUCAUUAUUCCUAUAUUUUUUUUCGCUAAUACAAACCAAUUAUUGCUAAUAUUUGAAUUAACAUGGAUCGACUUUUUCGGUAAUUCGGUAAUUUUGGAAUACACCCUUCCGGCAGCAGCUGAAGAUUCAUGCAGUCCCACGUCGCAUGUUCGGGUGUAGACCUACGGAAGACCUUGCCGCGAGGAUAGGUGAGUAAGACUAUACGAGCCAUCUACGGCAUAAUUCCUCGGGCUCCCCAGGUCAACCAUAAGCUACCCCAGGUUCUCCGUGCAGGACACAUUGGGGGUAGAAAGCGGAUAGAAUAAGCAAAAGAUCAAAGCAGGCCGCGAGGCAUACUUUUGAAGUGGUUUGUAUCUGCAAAGGAAUUUGUAUUAACAAAAGGAUCAAACAUAAAAAGGCGAUACUAAUUAAUACUUCCCUGCGACCUUGGAGGUCUCUCGGUUGGAUAUCUAGCCGUGGACACCAAACUUAGUAGCAAUCCUCGUCAGCCGGUGUGGUAUUGAUCACUGCUGGUGUUUUUUUGCCCCUCUAUCGUCUGUUGUAUCCUGCGGCUGCGUAGCAAGUCAGAUGCUCGCUCAUUCAGUUUGAAACGAAAAGAACAAAAGAGAACACAAGAAAACAUUAGAUUCUGACAGUGAGUUUCCACUCAGAUGUAAAGUGUAAUAUUUUAUUAAAUAUAAAUAAUUAAAAUAAUAUUUUCACUUCAUGAUUCUUUAUAGACACUUUAUUUUGCUUUCACUAUCACUUUCACUAUUUCUUCGGGUCGUCUAAUUUUCGUCGUGUUCCCGUACUUGGAUAAUUCCGCAUAACUAAUCACUGCUGGUUUGUAGUGUCAUGUCGAACAUGUUACAAGCUAACACAACAGUGAAACAGAAACAGAACUUCACAAGCACGGGAAUUUCCGCACGACCUCCCAGUGAAUUAAUACCGAGCUUUAACUAUUUUCAUACUACUAUUACCUAAAAUGUCCAAAGCAGCUCGGUAAAACUCACUGGGAGCGUUCCACAAUUUAGCCCCAUCCGGGGGAAGCUUAUCCCUUUGUACCCUCGUGUUUGUUUCCUUUGAUCAGUAGUCUAGGUAGUCCAACAAUGUUCAGCACAAGUUUGAAUCGAAAGCAAUUGCUUCAACAGCUGAACGGAUCAAACUAUUGCUUCCCUUGCUGAACUAACUAUUCUCCUGUUACUAAGGAAACAAAAGGAUAAUACAUCAUGAUUUGAUGUUCUAACAGGUACGUUCAACUAGCCAGCUGCGAGACCCAUCAGCCCGGCCGGGAACCAGUCCAUAUCUGUCGAGUACAGCAUACGGUGUGGUUCACAAAAUAUCAAAUACAGUGAACACAACACUAAGGCUAUACAUAUGAACUAGCGGGAUGGAAGCACGUGGACACCUCCCCCCAACAUGGAUCGACUUUUUAGUUCAAUAAUGAGGAGCGGCCAUGGCUUACUGGUCACGGUGUUCGCUUUGAAGUUCUAAAUAACGUUUGAACCCGAUUGGUGCAAACGUUCUUCAGGGCGAGGCUUGUCGAUAAAGCUGAAGUACCUCGCGCUCGGCUAGCCAGCGUAGAAAUGGGUUACCGAAGCUCGGCAGAGCUAACACCUUCCAAAUGCCUAUGCGAGUUAUUUGCAUGUAUAGAAUGUAGAUCUAAAAAUACAUGGAAACAACUCAAUUUGUAAGAAGCGACCGCGUGGCCCCGUUUGGUUGGUUGCACACACACACACACACAUCGACUUUUUACUUCAAUAAUUUCACAUUAAGGGGAAAGUCACAUUUACGGGAAAGUGCGACACCAGGGAAAUUGUCCCUAGCAAAAAGUUUGUCAGA